rnacentral:rRNA from 1 species
ACCAGACGAUGCGGGAUCGAAGAUGAUUAGGUACCAUCGUAGUCUUAACCGUAAACGAUGCCGACUUGCGAUUGUUCGAUGGUUUUUAAAGCCGUGAGCAGCAGCACAUGAGAAAUCAAAGUCUUUGGGUUCCGGGGGGAGUAUGGUCGCAAGGCUGAAACUUAAAGGAAUUGACGGAAGGGCACCACCAGGAGUGGAGCCUGCGGCUUAAUUUGACUCAACACGGGGAAACUUACCAGGUCCAGACAAAGUAAGGAUUGACAGAUUGAGAGCUCUUUCUUGAUUCUUUGGGUGGUGGUGCAUGGCCGUUCUUAGUUGGUGGAGUGAUUUGUCUGGUUAAUUCCGAUAACGAACGAGACCCCAACCUGCUAACUAGACUGGUCUAUUUCACGAUAGAUCAGCGCUUCUUAGAGGGACAUUUCGGAUUUACCGGAAGGAAGUUCGUG